rnacentral:rRNA from 1 species
GCAUAUCAAUAAGCGGAGGAAAAGAAACUAACAAGGAUUCCCCUAGUAACUGCGAGUGAAGCGGGAAAAGCUCAAAUUUAAAAUCUGGCGGUCUUCGGCCGUCCGAGUUGUAGUCUGGAGAAGCGUCUUCCGCGUCGGACCGUGUACAAGUCUCUUGGAACAGAGCGUCAUAGAGGGUGAGAAUCCCGUCUUUGACACGGACUACCGAUGCUUUGUGAUGCGCUCUCAAAGAGUCGAGUUGUUUGGGAAUGCAGCUCAAAAUGGGUGGUAAAUUCCAUCUAAAGCUAAAUAUUGGCGAGAGACCGAUAGCGAACAAGUACCGUGAGGGAAAGAUGAAAAGCACUUUGGAAAGAGAGUUAAACAGUACGUGAAAUUGCUGAAAGGGAAACGAUUGAAGUCAGUCGCGUCGUUCAGAACUCAACCUUGCCUUCGGGCUCGGUGCACUUUCUGUUUGACGGGCCAGCAUCAGUUUUGACUGUCGGAAAAAGGUCUUCGGAAUGUGGCACCUCCGGGUGUGUUAUAGCCGUUGGUCGUAUACGACGGUCGGGACUGAGGACCGCAGCACGCCUUUUGGCCGGGGUUCGCCCACGUACGUGCUUAGGAUGCUGGCGUAAUGGCUUUAAACGACCCGUCUUGAAACACGGACCAAGGAGUCUAACAUGCAUGCGAGUGUUUGGGUGGAAAACCCGAGCGCGUAAUGAAAGUGAAAGUUGGGAUCCCUGUCGUGGGGAGCACCGACGCCCAUACCAGACCUUCUGUGACGGAUAUGCGGUAGAGCAUGUAUGUUGGGACCCGAAAGAUGGUGAACUAUGCCUGAAUAGGGUGAAGCCAGAGGAAACUCUGGUGGAGGCUCGUAGCGAUUCUGACGUGCAAAUCGAUCGUCAAAUUUGGGUAUAGGGGGCGAAAGACUAAUCGAAACCAUCUAGUAGCUGGUCUGCGAG